rnacentral:rRNA from 1 species
UACGGAGGGGGCUAGCGUUGUUCGGAAUUACUGGGCGUAAAGCGCACGUAGGCGGCGAUUUAGGUCAGAGGUGAAAGCCCGGAGCUCAACUCCGGAACUGCCUUUGAGACUGGAUUGCUAGAAUCUUGGAGAGGCGAGUGGAAUUCCGAGUGUAGAGGUGAAAUUCGUAGAUAUUCGGAAGAACACCAGUGGCGAAGGCGGCUCGCUGGACAAGUAUUGACGCUGAGGUGCGAAAGCGUGGGGAGCAAACAGG